UUUCCUACGGGACGCAGCAGUGGGGGAUAUUGCACAAUGGGGGAAACUCUGAUGCAGCGAUGCCGCGUGAAUGAAGACGGCCUUCGGGUUGUAAAGUUCUGUCGCAGGGGACGAAAAUGACGGUACCUGAGUAAGGAGCCCCGGCUAACUACGUGCCAGCAGCCGCGGUAAUACGUAGGGGGCAAGCGUUAUCCGGAAUUACUGGGUGUAAAGGGAGCGUAGACGGUAAUGCAAGUCUGGAGUGAAAGGCGGGGGCCCAACCCCCGGACUGCUCUGGAAACUGUGUAACUGGAG
rnacentral:rRNA from 1 species